rnacentral:rRNA from 1 species
AGCUCCAAUAGCGUAUAUUAAAGUUGCUGCAGUUAAAAAGCUCGUAGUUGGAUUUCUAGCGAGGCACGAGAAUAUCCACCUAUGGUGAAUACUUCUCUCGCCUUGCUCUUCUUUAGUUGAUGUCUCUGGCAUUAAGUUGUCGGAGUCCUGAGACUAAUCGUUUACUGUGAGAAAAUUAGAGUGUUCAAAGCAGGCUUAUGCCGUUGAAUAUAUUAGCAUGGAAUAAUAAGAUAGGACUUCGGUACUAUUUUGUUGGUUUGCGUACUGAUGUAAUGAUAAAUAGGGACUGGCGUGGGUAUUCGUAUUUUAAUGUCAGAGGUGAAAUUCUUAGAUUAUUGAAAGACGGACGACUGCGAAAGCAUCUACCAAGUAUGUUUUCAUUA